AAGAGAGAGAAAGGAGAAAAUAGAACCCUAGCCAAGAAAUUUAAAGGGAAAAUUGGUGAAAAUUCAAAAAUCAAGUGAAAAAAAAGAUAACACUUCUUAAAAUUGUCUUGUGCUUUACCUUUCCCAUGCAUUUCCCAUCAUUUUCCAUGGUUGAAUCAUGUGAUUUGAGGAUGAUUUCAAUUCUGGUCAUAUGGGUUUAGAGAGAGAAUGUCACAACUCGGAACUCCCAUCGAGCCCGUGACAAUCGCCGCGACGUCUCGAUAGGCACUCAUUACCCCGAAUGUCGAUCGAAACCCCGCAAGGCUUAGC
rnacentral:lncRNA from 1 species